UCUCCCUGGAAAACGGGUGGUAAUGCCGGAUGUUCCACAUGAUCGCAUGUGAUUGUGGGAAAGAUUCUAUCGGCGUGGGAUGGGGUCGCGUCCUAUCAGCUUGUUGGUGAGGUAACGGCUCACCAAGGCUUCGACGGGUAGCCGGCCUGAGAGGGCGACCGGCCACAUUGGGACUGAGAUACGGCCCAGACUCCUACGGGAGGCAGCAGUGGGGAAUAUUGCACAAUGGGCGCAAGCCUGAUGCAGCGACGCCGCGUGAGGGAUGGAGGCCUUCGGGUUGUAAACCUCUUUUGUUUGGGAGCAAGCCUUCGGGUGAGUGUACCUUUCGAAUAAGCGCCGGCUAACUACGUGCCAGCAGCCGCGGUAAUACGUAGGGCGCAAGCGUUAUCCGGAUUUAUUGGGCGUAAAGGGCUCGUAGGCGGCUCGUCGCGUCCGGUGUGAAAGUCCAUCGCUUAACGGUGGAUCUGCGCCGGGUACGGGCGGGCUGGAGUGCGGUAGGGGAGACUGGAAUUCCCGGUGUAACGGUGGAAUGUGUAGAUAUCGGAAAGAACACCA
rnacentral:rRNA from 1 species